GCGGGCGUAGUUCAGUGGUAGAACGUCUGCUUGCCAAGCAGAAGGUCGUGGGUUCAAACCCCAUCGCCCGCUCCA
rnacentral:tRNA from 1 species